CAGUGUUCUGGUGGGUGGAGCCGGAUUUCUUCUCUCUGGAGUGCAAUGAAGUGUGCAGUAAUGAGUUAUGAGAUGUCAACGGUUUUGGAGUAACCUUGGGCAGCCUGUAUAUUGAAGCUCAUGGCUGUAUUCCUGUGUUGCUGGAGAAUUUGCAUGAUACAGGGUCCUAUGCAACAAUGUGGCCACAGUUAAAGAGAAACCAGGGCAGAGCCUCCUCAAAUGUACUCAUGACUCAGGCAGGAAUCUACAGAAGCCAUCACCACACAGGUGGUUUUGAAUUGUGAUGUUGGAGGAGACUCUUGAGAGUCCCUUGGACUGCAAGGAGAUCCAACCAGUCCAUCCUAAAGGAAACCAGUCCUGAAUAUUCAUUGGAAGGACUGAUGCUGAAGCUGAAACUUCAAUACUCUGGCCACCUGAUGCGAAGAACUGACUCAUUUGAAAAGACCCUGAUGCUGGAAAGAUUGAAGGCGGGAGGAGAAGGAGCUGACAGAGGAUGAGCUGGUUGGAUAGCAUCACUGACUCGAUUGACAUGAACUUGAGUAAACUCCGGGUGUUGGUGAUAGACAGGGCAGCCUGGUGUGCUGCAGUCCAUGGGGUCGCAAAGAGUCAGACACAACUGAGUGACUGAACUGAACUGAUCUGAGGACUGCCAGAUCAUGUGGCGGCUCUAUUUUUAACUUUAAAAGUCACUUCCACAUUGGUCCUUAUAAUGGCUGUUACCAGUUACAUAUCACCAGUAGCAAAUGGCGGUCCUUUUUUUUUUUAAUCCAGCUUCAGCAUUUCUUGAAUGUAGACUUUUUGAUAACAGUCUUUUUAGCUCAUCACACAAAUGUUACUAUCAUGAUUCCAAAUAUUGUUUUGGAUAUUGAAAGACAAUACCAC
ensembl:lncRNA